UACGGAGGGUGCAAGCGUUGUUCGGAAUUACUGGGCGUAAAGAGCGUGUAGGCGGUCGAUCAAGUCCGGUGUGAAAGCCCGGGGCUUACCCCCGGAAGUGCGCUGGAAACUGGUCGACUAGAGUAUGGGAGAGGGAAGUGGAAUUCCUGGUGUAGCGGUGAAAUGCGUAGAUAUCAGGAGGAACACCGGCGGCGAAGGCGGCUUCCUGGACCAAUACUGACGCUGAGACGCGAAAGAGUGGGGAGCAAACAGG
rnacentral:rRNA from 1 species